CCUACGGGCGGCUGCAGUGGGGAAUAUUGCACAAUGGGCGCAAGCCUGAUGCAGCCAUGCCGCGUGUGUGAAGAAGGCCUUCGGGUUGUAAAGCACUUUCAGCGGGGAGGAAGGCGUUAAGGUUAAUAACCUUGUCGAUUGACGUUACCCGCAGAAGAAGCACCGGCUAACUCCGUGCCAGCAGCCGCGGUAAUACGGAGGGUGCAAGCGUUAAUCGGAAUUACUGGGCGUAAAGCGCACGCAGGCGGUCUGUCAAGUCGGAUGUGAAAUCCCCGGGCUCAACCUGGGAACUGCAUUCGAAACUGGCAGGCUAGAGUCUUGUAGAGGGGGGUAGAAUUCCAGGUGUAGCGGUGAGAUGCGUAGAGAUCUGGAGGAAUACCGGUGGCGAAGGCGGCCCCCUGGACAAAGACUGACGCUCAGGUGCGAAAGCGUGGGGAGCAAACAGGAUUAGAUACCCGGGUAGUC
rnacentral:rRNA from 1 species